AGACGAGGGUGGCAAGCGUUACCCGGAAUUACUGGGCGUAAAGGGUUCGUAGGCGGUUAUUUAAGUCAGAUGUGAAAGCCCCGGGCUCAACCUGGGAAUUGCAUCUGAUACUGGGUAACUAGAGUUUAAGAGAGGAGUGUGGAAUUUCCGGUGUAGCGGUGAAAUGCAUAGAGAUCGGAAGGAACAUCAGUGGCGAAGGCGGCACUCUGGCUUAAAACUGACGCUGAGGAACGAAAGCGUGGGUAGCAAACAGGAUUAGAAACCCUAGUAGUCC
rnacentral:rRNA from 1 species